AAUUAGAACAUUCCCACAUCCGCAUAUCCUUGAAAUAUGAAUAUUAACCGUGCUUUGAAUAAUCAUGAUUUUAUUAUUGCAUUAUUAAUGAUUGCAUUGCCUUUAAUCUUAAAGAUUUUAAGAAUAGCUUUGAGUAUUAACCUUUAGCAUAUAGUACUAAAGUUAGAAUAGUCUAGCAGGCUUAGAGAUAUGAUUCCAUUGUAUAUGGGUUUUGAUAGUUGACUUUUAAAUGUCAUGUGCAAAUUUAGCAGGCUUGGAGUUUUUGCGGUAUGUAUGUAUGUGUGUUUUUUAACUUUUGCUUUGCAGAAACACCUGGGGAGAAAAACAGGAUGUCGGGGCAGGGUGAAAUAACGGUCAUAGCUAUUUAUAACAGGAUGAACUUCUAAAACAGAAGUACAACUUUCCAUCGAACGGGUCUGGUGAACCUUUAAGAAAGAAGUAAAACUUUCCAUCGAACAGGCCCCCACCAAACUGCACAUAUAUAUAUUUUGGGUCAGAGGGAGAGGCAGAAGAGAUCAACCGCUCCUCGGGGGAUCUGUCUCUGCAUUGGUGUUGUGUAAAGACAGGGACAACGUUGACCGAGAGCUCUGUAAUAUUUCAUUUGAGAUACUUAUUAAAAAUAAUUUGAUUUGAGUUACGUGUCUAUUCUCCUCAUUCAAAGAACAUGCAGGACAAUUAAAGUCCAACAAUUGGUGACCCCAUCGACGUGAUGAGGAGGACUGGACAUCAUUGAUUUUUCUUCUCGACAUUCCACUUGCGCAAAAUAGGAAAGGUAAGCAGAUACCUGUUAUAUCAAAAUUCUGCUUUAUUUAAAUGUCGUGAAGAAUAAUUAAUGAUACAAUGAUUAUUGUCAUUUUUAUCUAAAUUGUAUAUCUCAAAUGAACUAUUAAAUGUGUCAAUUAAAUAAAAAGGGAAGUAACAAUAAUACGAUUAAAAUAAAAUAAAAGAAAAAUAGUAAAAUAAAAGAAAAAUAAGAAUAAAAAAAAAACAAUACAAGGAAUUAAUAACUGGUCCGGGACCAGGCGCGUUUGGAACGCGGAGAACGCAGAGUUGGAAACCCGGCACUGACGAGUGUCCUUAACCUCCGGGUUUAAAUUCCCUGGAAAAUGGUUCAUUCCAGAAACUGAGGAUCCGGGAUCCGGACGUGGUCACGUACCACGUUUUUUAGCGUAGUAAAAUUGGACGCGUGUUCCGGGAACACGUAGCGGUUUUUAUUGUUUCCGCAGGAUAAAAUUACAUUAGAUUAGGAUAGUGUUCUGGGAACACGUUGCGGUUGGACCGCGGGAAUAAAAUACAGUAGAAUAGGACUUAGUGUUCUGGGAACACGUUGCGGUUGGACCGCGGGAAUAGAAUACAGUAGAAUAAGACUUAGUGUUCUGGGAACACGUUGCGGUUGGACCGCGGGAAUAGAAUACAGUAGAAUAAGACUAAGUGUUCUGGGAACACGUUGCGGUUGGACCGCGGGAAUAGAAUACAGUAGAAUAGGAUUUAGUGUUCUGGGACAGAGCGGUUGGACCGCGAUACAUAGAGAUUGAAGUGGGUUUCAUACCCGAGAAAGUGGUCAGGGACCACGGGCAACGCAGCGGUUGGACCGCAUAAAGAGAAAGCGAAAGUGGUAAGAAAGCCACGAAAUAGUCGAAAAUACGAAGAGAAUAUUGGUAGGCCUAUUUGAAAAAGUUUUAUUGUAAGCAAUAUUGUUAAGUUGUGCUAAAGAAUAGGAAUUUGAAACUUGCUGAAGAUUAUACGAAAUGGCUGCUUAUUUUUAAAUGUGCUGUUUAUUUGCGCUGUUUGCUACCGGUAUAUUAUCAGCUUUACUAAGGACUGACAGCAAAUAACAUUGAGAGGAAGAAUAAACGAGAUAUUCAGGGUAAGACAUAUUUUAGUGGAAGAUAACAUGAAGACUCUUAAAGAGCAAUGGGAGGCAGCCGUAGAACAGCUUUUGAGCGGGUUAGAAGAAAGAGAAAGGCUCAAAAAAUUCAGAAAUUUAAAGAAAUAUAUGAGGAUUGGAAGCAAACGAAAGGAUAUGAAGACAAAAAAGUUAAGUCUGAAAAGAAGUUAGAAUACAGGAAGCAGAUGCAGGCUUCAACUUUCUGAGAAAGAAUGUACAGGAAGUAGGGUUUUUGUGUAAGAAGAAACAUGAGAGGAAAUGAAGAGAUGCGAAGCUAAGGAGAAAGAGAGAGAGAGAGCUGAGCUGAUGAGACAAUAUAAAGAGCUGGCUGUGCAGGCAGAACAGGUGAAAGCAGCACUGGAGAAAGAAAUAAGGGAACAAUGGAACAGCGUAGUACAGGAAAAGACAUUUCAGCCAAAAACACCCCAGGAGAAACAUUGAGAAGCAGAUUUAUAGCAGUGGACGAGACUGGGAGUCAGAUACAGGUUGAAAAUCAGGGAACAUAUCCAGUUGAAAUCAGAGGAGAAAUGAGGAUGGGUAAGAGGAUGAGAGAGAAGAGCAGGUAUGACUCCCUUAUAAAGACACCAAAGAAAGAACAGGAAGAAGAUGAACAGGAAUGUAGGGAACUACAUCUCAUUCUUAGGGUACCUAAUAUCUGCCCCCUAGUGGAGACAAGUGGAAAGGUAGAAUAAAAACCAUGGUCAUUCACAGACAUGGGAGCUAUCCUUGCAAAGCUACCUCAUAUCACGAGUGGUGGGGGUAAAUGGAUAGGGAAGGUAAUAACUUUGACACAAGGGCAUACGUUGGCGAUCGGAGACCUUAGAGCAUUAUUGGGACAGGUACUGACCGUAGGACAGAUUACGGAAAUUGAGCGAGAGGCAGGAACGGUAGGAUAUAUGAUGACCACCCAUAUUGUCAAGUGGCAUCAGUCCGGGGAAAGGCCCUGCAAAAGCUGUACCCAGCGCCAGCAGGCACUCUUUAGAAUAUAAAAUUUUCUCCAAAAGGGGAAGAAACAGCAGCAGCAUAUCUGAGUCGAUGCAAAGGAGAGUGGGAAGAGCAAACAGGGGCUCAUCCACAUUCAGAUAGAAUACAGGAACAGAUGUUCAGAGCUGCUGUAUUGGAAGGGACUCCUAAAUCUGUACAGGAUGAAAUAAAAGCCAACCCCGACUUACCAGGUGCUUUAUGUGAGGUUUGGGAACGACAUUUCCUUCAUCACAUGUCUAGGGCGAACGAAAAAGAAAAAGAAAAGGUAGGGGAAGUAGAGGAAUUGAAAAAACAGUUGCUAAAAUUACAGUUGCAGGAAGCAAGAUCUAAAUUAAAUGAAGAAAAAGGGAAAAAAAAGGAUAUACAAAUGGUAGUUCAGGAGAUGAAAGCCCCUCCAAGAUAUAACAAAGAACAGGAAGUUGACCCAUCAAAUGUUAAAUGGGAGAGAACCACCCAAAGACCAAUGUAUUACUCCAAUAGAGGUAGGGCUGGGGAUUACAAUAGGGGGAGGGGAAGAGUGCAGUAUCAGGAAGGGUGUUUCCGUUGUGGUCGUCCGGGACACUUCGUCCGUGAUUGUCGGCAACCUGAACUCGGAGCCCAACAGAGACCGUCUCGGGGCAGAGGCCAUAACCCACACAUGGCCCCUAACGUGGAAAAAGCACCACGACCACACUCGCAGUACCCUUUGUCCACUGGAGGGGAAAGGGAGUGGUACUGAGACAGCCCACGGAACGACCUCAGCAGGGUCAGGGCGGAACCCUUGCUGACUUUGGAGGUAAACACACGUCCUGUUGAAUUCCUGGUGGAUACUGGGGCAACAUACUCCACACUGAACUUUGAACUUCCAAAAAAUCUUAUUUCUGACGAAACCACUGAAGUAAGGGGGUUUUCCGGGGCUAUAACUAGACUGCCAUUCUCCAAAGAACUCACAGUGCAGUGCAUGAAAAAACAAUCACUGACUCACUCUUUUCUGCUGUCAUAUUCCUCACCGACAAAUUUGUUGGGAAGAGACUUGCUAGUGAAACUUGGAGCUGAAAUCCUAUGCAGCCCGGAGGGGAUUAUAGUAACUAUGAAAAAUGGUAUCACCAUGAACUGUUCCAUCAUGACCACAAUGAGAACGCAUGGACAAUGGUUACUUUCUGCAAACACCUCUCCACAGGGAGCUGACAUUUACUGGGGGAGGGUGCUUCUGGGGGACACAGGGGACACCCUGAACGAUCUGUACUCUCAAUGGGAACCUUGGAUAUUAUCAUUAGCGCCAUACACCCAGCUAAUAGAUCCACUGCAUGUCACUCUGUUUUAUGAUAGAACACAAGAGUACUGGUACCAAGAACAAUUUGAUAACAUUGCAGGAGAACAGUGGGAAAUUUUUGGGGCAGGAAUAUUGAUAGGCAAAGAGGGAGUGGCAGGUAUUGUAGAACUUACCCCCGAACAGGAACAAUGGUACAAAAUGAGGGAAGAGGCAUCACCCCAUAUAUCAUUGUUAGUACACCCCCAACACCAAGCUAAGGAUCUAGGACCAAUGGUAAAGAAGGGAAUACACUUAACAGAUUGGAGGGAAACCCAACUUCCUGGUGUAAAAUAUUCAUCUAGCUCAGGGUAUUAUUUGAUCACACAGGAAACAAAAGACACUGUAGUGUUGGAACACGAAUGGCUCACAAGAUGGCAUGGUAGGGAGAAAAGUGAUCAUGAAGAUGCUGAAACAAUGUUGAAAAGUUUGCCCGACCAGUUAUGGACUCAGAGUCCCACAGAUGUAGGGUUUUGUAAAAAUUACCCAGAAAUUUCGUUCGAGCUGACAUGUGAUGAUCCAAUUUGGAGGCCUCAAUAUAAGCACAAACCAAAGGCAGAGGAAGGUAUCAAAGAUACCAUUGAAGGUUUGUUAACCGCAGGGGUUUUAGAAUAUGAUGAUUCCAAUUGAAACACACCCAUUCUGCCUGUGGAAAGACAAAACACAGGAAAAUUCAGAAUGGCACAUGAUUUGAGAACAAUCAAUCAAAUCAUGAAAACUCCAACUUUACCUGUUCCAAACCCAUACACUUCUCUGAAUGAAAUCACUCAAAAUCAAUCAUGGUAUACUUGCAUCGAUCUCGCUAAUGCUUUCUUCUGUUUACCCCUUGCAGAGCAUGUGAGAAACAUUGUUUGACCGUACUCACCGGACAAUCUGUGGUAGCUUUUGUGAAUUCGUCAUCAUUUACAUUUUCCACUCUGAGACAAAGAAAGUUGGAAAACUGUCUCGCACAACCAAAUUUGGUUUUCACGCAUGAGGGCAUAAACAUGGCCUCAUAUUGGACAGAAGGAGAACCCCAUGACUGUUGUAUGACCGUGGAAAGGGAAGAGAAAAUUAGACCAGAUUUGUUGACACACAUUAUUCCGCAGGGAGUUAUGGUGUUUUCAGAUGGAUGUUGUUUCAGAGAUUCGAGUGGAACACUGAGGUCAGGGAUAGGUAUUGCAGCACUGCCAGAGGAAGACAUUGAGAUAUUGAUAGAAGAACCUUUACAGGGACAUCAGUCAGUUCAGAGAGCAGAAAUUGUGGCAAUGACAAAGGCUCUGGUGUGGGGAGAAGGAAAAAUAGUUAACCUUUUUAGUGACUCUACCUAUGCAGUGGGUGCAGUUGUAACAGAAUUGCCUAAGUGGAAAAGAUGUGGUUUUAUGGCAGCUAACAACAAACCUAUUAAACAUCAGGAAGACAUCAUAGCAUUAGCAGCAGCUAUUUUGAGACCCAAGUAGGUGGCGAUCAUAAAGUGCAAAGGUAAUGAUAACAGUAACUCAGAUGCGGCACAAGGUAACUGGAUAGCGGACAUGGCAGUAAAGAUAGGUGCAGGGUACGUAACACAGAUGGUAUUGCAGAAUGCAACACAAGAAUGUACCACCGACAUUUUGCAUGAUCCAAACAUAGCAGUAGAACAAGAUAAAGCAUGAGGAAAAAUCCAUGUGGCUCCAAAAAGGAGCUGUAUGGACGCAAACUGGCCGGGUAGGGCAUGACGGUAGACCCGUAACUCUGCCCAGCAUGGUAAAACCCCUUCUCACUCAAGAACACACCCCCUCACAUGUUGGAAUCAAACAACCCGUGUCCAAUCUUAACCAGUGGUGGCACCCAUACCUGGCUGCUACAGUUAAAGAAUUUAUCGCUAACUGCAGGGUGUGCUCCAUACACAAUGUACGUGCUGGAGUGAAAUGUGCCGCAGGUGUCUUCCCGCCACGGGGACCUGGUGAGGAAGUGGUUAUCGAUUACACAGACAUGGGGGAGAGAGUGGAAGGUAAACGUUAUCUUUUAGUUUUCAUGAAUGUGUUUUCAGGUUGGCCAAAGGAGUGGCCCACGGGGAAGGAAGAUUCGAUUUCUGUGAUUAAGUGUUUGAUUAACCAAUAAAUUCCGCGUUACGAUUUUCUGCGAAUAAUUCGCUCAGACAACGGUUCACAUUUUAAGAAUACAGAUUUUUGAAAUCUACAGAAAAGGUUGAGAGUGCACUGGGAUUGCGUUUCCGUUUCGGUACCGUAUACCAUCCUAAGUGACAGGGAAAAGUUGAAAGCAUGAAUCUUAACCGCAUGACCUAAUUUAGACCAUUUGAACUUCUGAUGGUAGUUCAUUUCCUGGUCCGUUCAACCCAGUGCACCCUGAACAGAUAAAAAUCUCGAUCACAGAACAUAAUUAACCAAACUGAAUGAUAUUGUUUCAAGUUUUUCCAAACAGAAAACCAUCUCUCAUGCAUAUCCAGAUGCAGAAAUCACUAAAUUGGAGGAUUGGGUGCUCCUAAGGGAUAUGGUAAGAUUGGACCUGCAGGAACUGCAGGACCAAAAGGGGGAAUCCAACACAGGGGAACAACAGCAGGUUGACAUUUCUCAAAAGAACACAAAAGUAACACACAAAGAACUAAAGGGGGACUUAUUAAACAGUCCAGAACAUGAACUCAAAAAACACUGUGAAGAACAAAGGGUAAAAAAGUUGGCUAUACCUAGGAUUGGGUGUGGUUUGGACAGACUAGAGUGGGAAAAAGUAAGGGAUUUAAUCAAAGAAGAGGUCCAAAACACAGAAAUAAUCAUUACUGUGUAUGUAAGGGAAUAAUAAGUGAAAAAAGGGAGAUUGGGAUUGUGAAGUAUUUUACUAUUUUUCAAAUAUUUUACAUGUUAUCAUUUUACGAUUUUUAAAUAUUUUACAUUUUUAUUUUGAUAUUUUUUCAGAUAUUUUCAAUUUUUCCAUUUUGAGAGUUUUUAAAUAUUUUACGUUUUUCUAUUUCAUGAUUUUCAAAUAUUUGACACUUUUCUAUUUUCAGAUUUUAAGAUUUCACAUUUCAAUAUUUUACAACUUCCAAGUAUUUUACAAUUUACUAUUUUUGGUGAUUUUUAAAGGUGUUACAUUUUAUCAUUUUCAUGAGUUUCAAGUAUUUUACACGUGACUGUUUUUGAGCAUUUCAAAAAUUUUACAUUUUUCUACAUAUUGUGAUUUUUCAAGGGUUUUGCAUUUUACAAUAUUUUAUGAUUUUCAAAGGACUUACAUUUUAAUAUAUCCUUUUGUGAGCAUUGUUGAAAAUAUUUGAUGACAUAUAUUCUUUCAGGGGUAUUUUCGGAGACAUCAUAACAUCGUUUUGCAUUUUUUUUAUAGAUUCUUUUACAAGGACAUUUUGAAGAUAUUUUACAAUUAUUUUGAAUUAACAUAGAUUCUUUUGCUAUAGAGUUGUGUUUGACAGUUUUACUUUUAACGUGUGUGUUUUGAAAUUAUUUCACAUCCAGUUUGACUAUAUUUUACAGCCUUCAUCUAUAUUUUUACAAAUGUUUCAUAAUUCUUUUAUUUCUGGGAUAUUUUACAUUUUUACUAAUUGACAGUUUUAGAGGAAUAUUUACUAUGUUUUGGUUAUAUUUGAGUGUGUGGAGGAUAAACUUUUGCUAUAUUUUACAGGACGUUUAUAGUACAUGUUCACCAAAUAUUUCACAGUUCUUUUAUGAUAAUCUAUAAGGUUUAAUAAUAAGAGGUGCACGAAGAUAAUGUAUAUUGUAUAAGGUUUGUGCCUAUCUUCUUAAAAUAUUUUCAAGCAGAGAUAAGAUUUACAAGAAACCAUAUAUUUGCGGUAGUGCCUGUUUAAAAUAAAUAAACAAAUAACUAAUCUGACAAAAAUUCAGGAAUCGAUAACCCAUUCAAUAGCUGGAUGACAAAAUGGUUUGGGCAAUACAGUGCGCUGAUCACUUCAUUAUUAAUGUCCAUCGCAGUGGCCGCGGCGAUACUUGUAACCUGUGGGUGUUGUUGUAUUCCAUGUAUCAGAUCUUUGUGUAACAGGUGGAUCGUGAAGACGGUGGAGGGGAAGGAUCCUCCACCGUAUCAGAUGCCACUGCUGGGAGCAGUAGGGCUAAACGAAGAAGAACCAAAGGAGGAGGAGUCAGAGGUUGAUCUCCUGUAAAGGAGAUCAAAAGGGGGAAUGAAGGAAAAUUAGAACAUUCCCACAUCCGCAUAUCCUUGAAAUAUGAAUAUUAACCGUGCUUUGAAUAAUCAUGAUUUUAUUAUUGCAUUAUUAAUGAUUGCAUUGCCUUUAAUCUUAAAGAUUUUAAGAAUAGCUUUGAGUAUUAACCUUUAGCAUAUAGUACUAAAGUUAGAAUAGUCUAGCAGGCUUAGAGAUAUGAUUCCAUUGUAUAUGGGUUUUGAUAGUUGACUUUUAAAUGUCAUGUGCAAAUUUAGCAGGCUUGGAGUUUUUGCGGUAUGUAUGUAUGUGUGUUUUUUAACUUUUGCUUUGCAGAAACACCUGGGGAGAAAAACAGGAUGUCGGGGCAGGGUGAAAUAACGGUCAUAGCUAUUUAUAACAGGAUGAACUUCUAAAACAGAAGUACAACUUUCCAUCGAACGGGUCUGGUGAACCUUUAAGAAAGAAGUAAAACUUUCCAUCGAACAGGCCCCCACCAAACUGCACAUAUAUAUAUUUUGGGUCAGAGGGAGAGGCAGAAGAGAUCAACCGCUCCUCGGGGGAUCUGUCUCUGCAUUGGUGUUGUGUAAAGACAGGGACAACGUUGACCGAGAGCUCUGUAAUAUUUCAUUUGAGAUACUUAUUAAAAAUAAUUUGAUUUGA